rnacentral:misc_RNA from 1 species
UCGUAUAACGGAGGUGCCGGGGCUGUCGCUGACCCCCCAAAGGUCGUGCACGCCUGAGCGCUUUUACACAAUCCAUCUCACCCCUUGUGCAUCACUGCGUGGGUCCCCCCUUUGCGGGGAGGGGCCUGCGUUUCCACAUAAAACUCGAAUGUAAUGAAAUUUAUUGUCGUGCGCAAGCACUAAUGUA